UACGUAGGGACCAAGCGUUGUUCGGAUUUACUGGGCGUAAAGGGCGCGUAGGCGGCAAUUCAAGUCAUCUGUGAAAUCUCCGGGCUUAACUCGGAACGGUCAGAUGAUACUGCUUUGCUAGAGUACAGAAGUGGCAAUCGGAAUUCUUGGUGUAGCGGUGAAAUGCGUAGAUAUCAAGAGGAACACCUGAGGUGAAGACGGGUUGCUGGGCUGAUACUGACGCUGAGGCGCGAAAGCUAGGGUAGCAAACGGG
rnacentral:rRNA from 1 species